AGCAGCCGCGGUAAUUCCAGCCCCAAUAGCGUAUAUUAAAGUUGCUGCAGUUAAAAAGCUCGUAGUUGAAUUUCGGGACCAUCAUGUCGGUCGUGCCUCGGUACGUACUGGUAUUGUUGGUUUCUCCCUUCUGACGAACCAUGAUGUCAUUUAUUUGGUGUUGUGGGGAAUCAGGACUGUUACUUUGAAAAAUUAGAGUGUUUAAAGCAGGCUCACGCUUGAAUACAUUAGCAUGGAAUAAUGAAAUAGGACGUUUGAUUCUAUUUUGUUGGUUUCUAGGAUCGACGUAAUGAUUAAUAGGGAUAGUUGGGGGCAUUAGUAUUCAAUUGUCAGAGGUGAAAUUCUUGGAUUUAUUGAAGACUAACUACUGCGAAAGCAUUUGCCAAGGAUGUUUUCAUUAAUCAAGAACGAAAGUUAGGGGAUCGAAGACGAUCAGAUACCGUCGUAGUCUUAACCAUAAACUAUGCCGACUAGGGAUCGGAUGAUGUUAAUUUUUUAAUGUACUCAUUCGGCGCCUUAA
rnacentral:rRNA from 1 species